ensembl:lncRNA novel transcript, antisense to SLC47A1
CGGAAGGGACUAGACCUUCCGCAAUGAGUUCCUGCCAGACCUUGGACCUUAACUUGCUUCUGACACAGACUUUGCUAGAAGCUUCCAGAGCAGGGCUGAGCACCUACAGAUGACUGGAGAACACCAAAGGCAGGCCAGGUGGGAAUGGAUGGCGGGAAAAGCCCUGUGAAUCUCAAGGCACCACACAGGGCACAGAGGGAGACCCCAGGUAACAUGCACAUGGUCAAAAAAUGGAACAAUAUGAACAAGAUAGUAAGCAAAGUCUUACUGCAAUGCCCUUCCAGUUUGCCCCAGUACCAGCCCUGCCUCCUCCAGAUUUCACAUUUCAAGAAAAUCCUAGCACUCACCGGUCGGUAGUAAAAAUGUACCCCACGUGAUCCUUACAGCUUAACAGCAGGACACUGAAGGCUACAGCAAAGAGCACUGAAGGUAAAAACGGCAGAAGAAACAACACAGUGAACAAGAAGAUCCACAGGAAGUGGAGGAGCCUGGGUUUUGCAUGCAGAGACUGCACCAAGAGCCUCGGGUAAAGGGGUCUCAGCACCUGUAAUCAGCAGGGAAACGGUAGAGGACUUCCGUGCCUGCUCCAUGUCUCCAGCACCCAGAGCGUUUCCUACCCGGACACUGGCAGCCACACUGAAGCCUGCAGGGACCUAAAAUAAAAAGGAAACCUGCAACAAUGAGUGAGAAACUGCAGAGCGAGAACACGUGCAGAGAAGCAGCCUCAUGC